CCCCGCUGGGCUGCAUUGGAGCCGGGGCCCGCGGAGCCGCGACCUGACAGUACCAGAGUUGAAGGAGCCGGGACGCGCAAAGGCGCGUGGAACCCGGGAGGGGACCGGUGCCUGCGAACGGCCCGAGCAAGGUGGACUGAACUCUAAGAUUAAUCCUUCCGGAGAAGAUUAUAUUCUUGCUCUUAAGCCUGGUUUACAUAGUUCCCACUAAUCUUCAGAGAAGUCACCUCAGAGAGCAAACUUUGCACCAGUCGCUCUUUUCCGUCCUCCUUUCAAGGUCAGCACCUUCUAUAGGAUAUAUAAAAACAAACAACAGUCCUCAUCUUUCUACCGAUCAUUUUCCUGUCUGCAAAGACAUCUACUUUCGACUCUAGAUGAUGCCCUUCAUAAGGACCUCCACACUGUAAAGGGUAUGCUUAAAUUGCUAUUUAUAUUGUUUUACUUGUAAACACAAUUGUCA
rnacentral:lncRNA from 1 species